GACGAACGCUGGCGGCGUGCUUAACACAUGCAAGUCGAACGGUAAGGCCCCAGCUUGCUGGGGUACACGAGUGGCGAACGGGUGAGUAACACGUGGGUGACCUGCCCCGCACUUCGGGAUAAGCCUGGGAAACUGGGUCUCAUACCGGAUAUGAUCGCACCGUGAGGGUGUGGUGGAAAGUUUUUAGGUGUGUGAUGGGCCCGCGGCCUAUCAGCUUGUUGGUGGGGUAAUGGCCUACCAAGGCGGCGGCGGGUAGCCGGCCUGGGAGGGUGGACGGCCACAAUGGGACUAAGACACGGCGCAGACUCCUACGGGAGGCAGCAGUGGGGAAUAUUGCACAAUGGGCGGAAGCCUGAGGCAGCGACGCCGCGUGGGGGAUGACGGCCUUCGGGUUGUAAACACCUUUCACCAUCGACAAAGGUUUUCUGACGGUAGAUGGAGAAGAAGCACCGGCUAACUACGUG
rnacentral:rRNA from 1 species